rnacentral:rRNA from 1 species
GUAGGUGGCAAGCGUUGUCCGGAAUUAUUGGGCGUAAAGCGCGCGCAGGCGGUUCUUUAAGUCUGAUGUGAAAGCCCACGGCUCAACCGUGGAGGGUCAUUGGAAACUGGAGAACUUGAGUACAGAAGAGGAAAGCGGAAUUCCACGUGUAGCGGUGAAAUGCGUAGAGAUGUGGAGGAACACCAGUGGCGAAGGCGGCUUUCUGGUCUGUAACUGACGCUGAGGCGCGAAAGCGUGGGGAGCAAACAGGGAUUAGAUACCCUGGUAGUCCACGCCGUAAACGAUGAGUGCUAAGUGUUAGGGGGUUUCCGCCCCCUUAGUGCUGCAGCUAACGCAUUAAGCACUCCGCCUGGGGAGUACGGCCGCAGGCUG